GUGUGGCUCAGUGGUUGACCGUCUGUUUGGCAUGCAGAAGAUUCCAGGUUCCAUUUCUUGCAUCUCCA
rnacentral:tRNA from 1 species